GACGAACGCUGGCGGCGUGCUUAACACAUGCGAGUCGAACGGAAAGGCCCUGCUUGCAGGGUGCUCGAGUGGCGAACGGGUGAGUAACACGUGGGUGAUCUGCCCCUUACUUUGGGAUAAGCCUGGGAAACUGGGUCUAAUACUGGAUAGGACCAUGCUGUAGGUGGUGUGGUGGAAAGAUUAGUUUCGGUAAGGGAUGAGCUCGCGGCCUAUCAGCUUGUUGGUGGGGUAAUGGCCUACCAAGGCGUCGACGGGUAGCCGGCCUGAGAGGGUGGACGGCCACAUUGGGACUGAGAUACGGCCCAGACUCCUACGGGAGGCAGCAGUGGGGAAUAUUGCACAAUGGGCGCAAGCCUGAUGCAGCGACGCCGCGUGGGGGAUGACGGCCUUCGGGUUGUAAACUCCUUUCAGCCAUGACGAAGCCCUUGUGGUGACGGUAGUGGUAGAAGAAGCACCGGCUAACUACGUG
rnacentral:rRNA from 1 species